rnacentral:rRNA from 1 species
AGCGAACGCUGGCGGGAGGUAUAACACAUGCAAGUCGAACGAACCUUUCGGGGUUAGUGGCGGACGGGUGAGUAACACGUGGGAACGUGCCUUUAGGUUCGGAAUAAAUCAGGGAAACUUGUGCUAAUACCGAAUGUGCCCUUCGGGGGAAAGAUUAAUCGCCUUUAGAGCGGCCCGCGUCUGAUUAGCUAGUUGGUUGAGGUAAUGGCUCACCAAGGCGACGAUCAGUAGCUGGUCUGAGAGGAUGAUCAGCCACAUUGGGACUGAGACACGGCCCAAACUCCUACGGGAGGCAGCAGUGGGGAAUCUUGCGCAAUGGGCGAAAGCCUGACGCAGCCAUGCCGCGUGAAUGAUGAAGGUCUUAGGAUUGUAAAAUUCUUUCACCGGGGACGAUAAUGACGGUACCCGGAGAAGAAGCCCCGGCUAACUUCGUG